rfam:Sorghum bicolor cultivar BTx623 chromosome 1, whole genome shotgun sequence.
GUAGUCGGAUUCACAUCAAUCCACAUGUGUUGAGGUGGAUUGGAGUGGAAUUUGAACUAAAUUUCACUACAAUCCACACUAAACAUAUAGAUUGAAGUAAAUACGACA